rnacentral:rRNA from 1 species
AUUGAACGCUGGCGGCAGGCCUAACACAUGCAAGUCGAGCGGAUGACAGGAGCUUGCUCCUGAAUUCAGCGGCGGACGGGUGAGUAAUGCCUAGGAAUCUGCCUGGUAGUGGGGGACAACGUUUCGAAAGGAACGCUAAUACCGCAUACGUCCUACGGGAGAAAGCAGGGGACCUUCGGGCCUUGCGCUAUCAGAUGAGCCUAGGUCGGAUUAGCUAGUUGGUGAGGUAAAGGCUCACCAAGGCGACGAUCCGUAACUGGUCUGAGAGGAUGAUCAGUCACACUGGAACUGAGACACGGUCCAGACUCCUACGGGAGGCAGCAGUGGGGAAUAUUGGACAAUGGGCGAAAGCCUGAUCCAGCCAUGCCGCGUGUGUGAAGAAGGUACUUCGGAUUGUAAAGCAC